rnacentral:sRNA from 1 species
GAUUGGCUGUACGGAAGGCGGCGACGGGGCCGAAGGAGGCCCGUUUGUGUCUAAACGGAGGCUCGGCCACAACGCCACUGGAUUGGUGGUAAGGCGGGGCGGGCCAGAGUCUCCAGCCUGAAGCGGAAGUGGAGGAAAGAUGGAGGACCAUCAGCACGUGCCCAUCGACAUCCAGACCAGCAAGCUGCUCGAUUGGCUGGUGGACAGAAGGCACUGCAGCCUGAAAUGGCAGAGUCUGGUGCUGACGAUCCGCGAGAAGAUCAAUGCUGCCAUCCAGGAUAUGCCAGAGAGCGAAGAGAUCGCCCAGCUGCUGUCUGGGUCCUGUGAGUGCUUAGGGGCUGUCACUGGAGUCCCCUCUUUGCUGAGGUAGUAUGUAUCAGCUGAGCUACUCUCUUGUUAUUUAGCCACCAGGGCUGGCCUGUAGAGAGGGAGCGAUUUUUAUUUGAGGUAUAGAUACUGGCUUCUUGCACUAUGAAAUGAUUAAGGGAAAAGCUACACACUAAAGUUACUGGUAGUAUAUUAUACAUGAAUCAGCCACCUGCAGUGCCCAGAGUAGGUGAGGAAGAUACUUUAGUUCUCAAAAUCCUGUCUCUUGCUUUCUAGACAUUCACUACUUUCACUGCCUAAGAAUCCUGGACCUUCUCAAAGGCACAGAGGCCUCCACGAAAAAUAUUUUUGGCCGAUACUCUUCACAGCGGAUGAAGGAUUGGCAGG